rnacentral:rRNA from 1 species
CCUACGGGAGGCAGCAGUGAGGAAUUUUCCGCAAUGGGCGAAAGCCUGACGGAGCAAUGCCGCGUGGAGGAGGAAGGCCUGUGGGCCGUAAACUCCUUUUCUCAGAGAAGAAGUUCUGACGGUAUCUGAGGAAUAAGCAUCGGCUAACUCUGUGCCAGCAGCCGCGGUAAUACAGGGGAUGCAAGCGUUAUCCGGAAUUAUUGGGCGUAAAGCGUCCUGAGGUGGCUUACCCAGUCGACUGUGAAAGCUCAAGGCUUAACCUUGAAACGGCAGUCGAAACUUGUAAGCUUGAGUACGGUAGGGGCAGAGGGAAUUCCCGGAGGAGAGGUGAAAUUCGUAGAUAUCGGGAGGAAGGCCAAAGGCGAAAGCACUCUGCUGGGCCGAUUACUGACACUGACAGACGAAAGCUAGGGGAGCGAAAGGGAUUAGAUACCCCUGUAGUCCUAGCCGUAAACGAUGGAUACUAAGUGUUGCGCGACUCAAAACGUGCAGUGCUGCAGCUAACGCGGUAAGUAUCCCGCCUGGGGAGUAUGCCGCAAGGGUGAAACUCAAAUGAAUUGACGG